rnacentral:sRNA from 1 species
GGAAGUCCAGAAGAAGCUACUCCUUCCAGCAGGCCUAAUAGGAUGGCAUCUAAUAUUUUUGGACCAACAGAAGAACCUCAGAACAUACCCAAGAGGACAAAUCCCCCAGGGGGUAAAGGAAGUGGUAUCUUUGACGAAUCAACCCCCGUGCAGACUCGACAGCACCUGAACCCACCUGGAGGGAAGACCAGCGACAUUUUUGGGUCUCCGGUCACUGCCACUUCACGCUUGGCACACCCAAACAAACCCAAGUCGAGGUCCUCGGCUGGUUACCUGUGGAGAUUGUCAGCACUUGAC